rnacentral:rRNA from 1 species
UACGCAGGGGGCAAGCGUUGUUCGGAAUUACUGGGCGUAAAGGGCGCGUAGGCGGCUUAUCAAGUCAGGCGUGAAAUUCCCGGGCUCAACCUGGGGGCUGCGCUUGAUACUGAUGAGCUUGAAUGCGGGAGAGGAUAGUGGAAUUCCCAGUGUAGAGGUGAAAUUCGUAGAUAUUGGGAAGAACACCGGUGGCGAAGGCGGCUAUCUGGCCCGUAAUUGACGCUGAGGCGCGAAAGCGUGGGGAGCAAACAGG